rnacentral:rRNA from 1 species
GGCCUAACACAUGCAAGUCGAACGGUAACAUUUCUAUGCUUGCUAGUAAGAUGACGAGUGGCGGACGGGUGAGUAAUGCUUGGGAACUUGCCUUUGCGAGGGGGAUAACAGUUGGAAACGACUGCUAAUACCGCAUAAUGUCUUCGGACCAAACGGGGCUUCGGCUCCGGCGCAAAGAGAGGCCCAAGUGAGAUUAGCUAGUUGGUAAGGUAACGGCUUACCAAGGCGACGAUCUCUAGCUGUUCUGAGAGGAAGAUCAGCCACACUGGGACUGAGACACGGCCCAGACUCCUACGGGAGGCAGCAGUGGGGAAUAUUGCACAAUGGGGGAAACCCUGAUGCAGCCAUGCCGCGUGUGUGAAGAAGGCCUUCGGGUUGUAAAGCACUUUCAGUUGUGAGGAAAAGUUAGUAGUUAAUACCUGCUAGCCGUGACGUUAACAACAGAAGAAGCACCGGCUAACUCCGUGCCAGCAGCCGCGGUAAUACGGAGGGUGCGAGCGUUAAUCGGAAUUACUGGGCGUAAAGCGCACGCAGGCGGUUUGUUAAGCUAGAUGUGAAAGCCCCGGGCUCAACCUGGGAUGGUCAUUUAGAACUGGCAGACUAGAGUCUUGGAGAGGGGAGUGGAAUUCCAGGUGUAGCGGUGAAAUGCGUAGAUAUCUGGAGGAACAUCAGUGGCGAAGGCGACUCCCUGGCCAAAGACUGACGCUCAUGUGCGAAAGUGUGGGUAGCGAACAGGAUUAGAUACCCUGGUAGUCCACACCGUAAACGCUGUCUACUAGCUGUGUGUGUCUUUAAGACGUGCGUAGCGAAGCUAACGCGCUAAGUAGACCGCCUGGGGAGUACGGCCGCAAGGUUAAAACUCAAAUGAAUUGACGGGGGCCCGCACAAGCGGUGGAGCAUGUGGUUUAAUUCGAUGCAACGCGAAGAACCUUACCUACACU